rnacentral:rRNA from 2 species
CCUGGCGGCACUAGCGCGGUGGUCCCACCUGACCCCAUGCCGAACUCAGAAGUGAAACGCCGUAGCGCCGAUGGUAGUGUGGGGUCUCCCCAUGCGAGAGUAGGGAACU